rnacentral:rRNA from 1 species
UUUUUAUGUGGACCUCUGUCCUUGUGCCUCUGGUGCUUGGAUGGAACCACAUAAGCAGGUGAAACUUCUUAGAGGAACUGGCGCCCGAAAAGGCGCACGAGAAAGAGCAAUAACAGGUCUGUGAUGCCCUAAGAUGUCCGGGGCCGCACGCGUGCUACAAUGACGAUGCUACUGAGCAUGAUUAACUUGUCCGAAAGGAUUGGUGAAACUGUUCAAUCAUCGUCGUGACUGGGAUUGGGGUUUGCAAUUAUCCCCCAUGAACCAGGAAUUCCUAGUAAGCACAAGUCAUAAGCUUGUGCUGAUUACGUCCCUGCCCUUUGUACACACCGCCCGUCGCUACUACCGAUUGAAUGGUUUAGCAAGGACAUUGGAUUGAGCCCUUGCGGUUUCGGCUGCUUGGGUUUGAGAAGAUGUCCGAACUUGAUCAUUUAGAGGAAGUAAAAGUCGUAACAAGGUUUCCGUAGGUGAACCUGCGGAAGGAUCAUUA